rnacentral:lncRNA from 1 species
GCUAAUUGAUGUACCAAUGAGUAACUGCAUUAACAGUGGCAUACGAAAAAUUUUCAUCUUAACACAGUUCAAUUCCUUUUCUCUCAAUCGCCACCUUGCUCGCACAUAUAAUUUUGGAAACGGAGUGAAUUUUAUUUUCCCUCAAUCGCCACCUUGCUCGCACGUAUAAUUUUGGCAACGGAGUGAAUUUUGGAGAUGGAUUUGUGGAGGUAAAAUCAUUCUGCUUUCUUGUAGUGUUUAGUCUAAAGCUCUUUUAAGCUACC